UACAGAGGUCUCAAGCGUUGUUCGGAUUCAUUGGGCGUAAAGGGUGCGCAGGCGGCCGUGUGUGUGAGGCGUGAAAGCCCGGGGCUCAACCCCGGAAUUGCACCUCAAACUACAUGGCUAGAGCAUUGGAGAGGGUAGCGGAAUUCACGGUGUAGCAGUGAAAUGCGUAGAUAUCGUGAGGAACACCAGAGGCGAAGGCGGCUACCUGGACAAUUGCUGACGCUCAGGCACGAAAGCGUGGGGAGCAAAAGGG
rnacentral:rRNA from 1 species